rnacentral:rRNA from 1 species
AUUGAACGCUGGCGGCAUGCCUUACACAUGCAAGUCGAACGGCAGCGGACCUUCGGGUGCCGGCGAGUGGCGAACGGGUGAGUAAAGUAUCGGAACGUACCUUUCAGUGGGGGAUAACGUAGCGAAAGUUACGCUAAUACCGCAUAUUCUGUGAGCAGGAAAGCAGGGGAUCGCAAGACCUUGCGCUGAUUGAGCGGCCGAUAUCAGAUUAGCUAGUUGGUGAGGUAAAGGCUCACCAAGGCGACGAUCUGUAGCGGGUCUGAGAGGAUGAUCCGCCACACUGGAACUGAGACACGGUCCAGACUCCUACGGGAGGCAGCAGUGGGGAAUUUUGGACAAUGGGGGCAACCCUGAUCCAGCCAUGCCGCGUGAGUGAAGAAGGCCUUCGGGUUGUAAAGCUCUUUCGGCCGGGAAGAAAUCGCUUAGGUUAAUACCCUGAGUGGAUGACGGUACCGGAAUAAGAAGCACCGGCUAACUACGUGCCAGCCGCCGCCGUAACAC